rnacentral:rRNA from 1 species
UACGAGGGGGGCAAGCGUUGUUCGGAAUUAUUGGGCGUAAAGCGCACGUAGGCGGCUUUGUAAGUUAGAGGUGAAAGCCCGGGGCUCAACUCCGGAAUUGCCUUUAAGACUGCAUCGCUAGAAUUGUGGAGAGGUAAGUGGAAUUCCGAGUGUAGAGGUGAAAUUCGUAGAUAUUCGGAAGAACACCAGUGGCGAAGGCGACUUACUGGACACAUAUUGACGCUGAGGUGCGAAAGCGUGGGGAGCAAACAGG